UGUGGUGUGUGUGUGUGUGUGUGUGUGUGUGUUUGUGUGUGUGUGUGUAAUGCUGCAUGUAUUUGGGGCGUGUAUUUGAGAUUCAUUUGGAAAACAAGUCAACAUUUGGGAUGUUUC